GGUUAAGCGACUAAGCGUACACGGUGGAUGCCCUGGCAGUCAGAGGCGAUGAAGGACGUGCUAAUCUGCGAUAAGCGCCGGUAAGGUGAUAUGAACCGUUAUAACCGGCGAUUUCCGAAUGGGGAAACCCAGUGUGACUCGUCACACUAUCAUUAACUGAAUCCAUAGGUUAAUGAGGCGAACCGGGGGAACUGAAACAUCUAAGUACCCCGAGGAAAAGAAAUCAACCGAGAUUCCCCCAGUAGCGGCGAGCGAACGGGGAGGAGCCCAGAGCCUGAAUCAGCAUGUGUGUUAGUGGAAGCGUCUGGAAAGGCGCGCGAUACAGGGUGACAGCCCCGUACACAAAAGCGCAUGUGCUGUGAGCUCGAUGAGUAGGGCGGGACACGUGGUAUCCUGUCUGAAUAUGGGGGGACCAUCCUCCAAGGCUAAAUACUCCUGACUGACCGAUAGUGAACCAGUACCGUGAGGGAAAGGCGAAAAGAACCCCGGCGAGGGGAGUGAAAAAGAACCUGAAACCGUGUACGUACAAGCAGUGGGAGCACAGGUUUACCUGUGUGACUGCGUACCUUUUGUAUAAUGGGUCAGCGACUUAUAUUCUGUAGCAAGGUUAACCGAAUAGGGGAGCCGGAGGGAAACCGAGUCUUAAUUGGGCGUUAAGUUGCAGGGUAUAGACCCGAAACCCGGUGAUCUAGCCAUGGGCAGGUUGAAGGUUGGGUAACACUAACUGGAGGACCGAACCGACUAAUGUUGAAAAAUUAGCGGAUGACCUGUGGCUGGGGGUGAAAGGCCAAUCAAACCGGGAGAUAGCUGGUUCUCCCCGAAAGCUAUUUAGGUAGCGCCUCGUGAACUCAUCUCCGGGGGUAGAGCACUGUUUCGGCUAGGGGGCCAUCCCGGCUUACCAACCCGAUGCAAACUGCGAAUACCGGAGAAUGUUAUCACGGGAGACACACGGCGGGUGCUAACGUCCGUCGUGAAGAGGGAAACAACCCAGACCGCCAGCUAAGGUCCCAAAGUCAUGGUUAAGUGGGAAACGAUGUGGGAAGGCCCAGACAGCCAGGAUGUUGGCUUAGAAGCAGCCAUCAUUUAAAGAAAGCGUAAUAGCUCACUGGUCGAGUCGGCCUGCGCGGAAGAUGUAACGGGGCUAAACCAUGCACCGAAGCUGCGGCAGCGAACGUAUCACUUAAAGCGAUUCAGCGGGUUACGAUUGACGGAGCGAAGCGACGUCAAAGCGUAUACAAAGUCGAGUCGGUUUAAGGAUACGUUCGUUGGGUAGGGGAGCGUUCUGUAAGCCUGCGAAGGUGGCCUGUGAGGGUUGCUGGAGGUAUCAGAAGUGCGAAUGCUGACAUAAGUAACGAUAAAGCGGGUGAAAAGCCCGCUCGCCGGAAGACCAAGGGUUCCUGUCCAACGUUAAUCGGGGCAGGGUGAGUCGACCCCUAAGGCGAGGCCGAAAGGCGUAGUCGAUGGGAAACGGGUUAAUAUUCCCGUACUUGGUGUUACUGCGAAGGGGGGACGGAGAAGGCUAUGUUGGCCGGGCGACGGUUGUCCCGGUUUAAGCGUGUAGGCUGGUUUUCCAGGCAAAUCCGGAAAAUCAAGGCUGAGGCGUGAUGACGAGGCACUACGGUGCUGAAGCAACAAAUGCCCUGCUUCCAGGAAAAGCCUCUAAGCAUCAGGUAACAUCAAAUCGUACCCCAAACCGACACAGGUGGUCAGGUAGAGAAUACCAAGGCGCUUGAGAGAACUCGGGUGAAGGAACUAGGCAAAAUGGUGCCGUAACUUCGGGAGAAGGCACGCUGACAUGUAGGUGAAGUGAUUUACUCAUGGAGCUGAAGUCAGUCGAAGAUACCAGCUGGCUGCAACUGUUUAUUAAAAACACAGCACUGUGCAAACACGAAAGUGGACGUAUACGGUGUGACGCCUGCCCGGUGCCGGAAGGUUAAUUGAUGGGGUCAGCGCAAGCGAAGCUCCUGAUCGAAGCCCCGGUAAACGGCGGCCGUAACUAUAACGGUCCUAAGGUAGCGAAAUUCCUUGUCGGGUAAGUUCCGACCUGCACGAAUGGCGUAAUGAUGGCCAGGCUGUCUCCACCCGAGACUCAGUGAAAUUGAACUCGCUGUGAAGAUGCAGUGUACCCGCGGCAAGACGGAAAGACCCCGUGAACCUUUACUAUAGCUUGACACUGAACAUUGAGCCUUGAUGUGUAGGAUAGGUGGGAGGCUUUGAAGUGUGGACGCCAGUCUGCAUGGAGCCGACCUUGAAAUACCACCCUUUAAUGUUUGAUGUUCUAACGUGGACCCGUAAUCCGGGUUGCGGACAGUGUCUGGUGGGUAGUUUGACUGGGGCGGUCUCCUCCUAAAGAGUAACGGAGGAGCACGAAGGUUGGCUAAUCCUGGUCGGACAUCAGGAGGUUAGUGCAAUGGCAUAAGCCAGCUUGACUGCGAGCGUGACGGCGCGAGCAGGUGCGAAAGCAGGUCAUAGUGAUCCGGUGGUUCUGAAUGGAAGGGCCAUCGCUCAACGGAUAAAAGGUACUCCGGGGAUAACAGGCUGAUACCGCCCAAGAGUUCAUAUCGACGGCGGUGUUUGGCACCUCGAUGUCGGCUCAUCACAUCCUGGGGCUGAAGUAGGUCCCAAGGGUAUGGCUGUUCGCCAUUUAAAGUGGUACGCGAGCUGGGUUUAGAACGUCGUGAGACAGUUCGGUCCCUAUCUGCCGUGGGCGCUGGAGAACUGAGGGGGGCUGCUCCUAGUACGAGAGGACCGGAGUGGACGCAUCACUGGUGUUCGGGUUGUCAUGCCAAUGGCACUGCCCGGUAGCUAAAUGCGGAAGAGAUAAGUGCUGAAAGCAUCUAAGCACGAAACUUGCCCCGAGAUGAGUUCUCCCUGAGACUUUAGGUCUCCUGAAGGAACGUUGAAGACGACGACGUUGAUAGGCCGGGUGUGUAAGCGCAGCGAUGCGUUGAGCUAACCGGUACUAAUGAACCGUGAGGCUUAACCUU
rnacentral:rRNA from 1 species